UACAGAGACCUCAAGCGUUAUCCGGAAUCAUUGGGCGUAAAGCGUACCGAUAGGUGGUUUGGUUAGUCUUGUGUGAAAUCCCGAAGCUCAACUUCGGAUUUGCGCAGGAUACUGCCAGACUAGAGGGGCAAAGAGGUAACUGGAACGAGCGGUGUAGUAGUGAAAUGCGUUGAUAUCGUUCGGAACACCGAAAGCGAAGGCAGGUUACUGGGUGCCACCUGACACUGCUAGGACGAAAGCGUGGGGAGCGAAUGGG
rnacentral:rRNA from 1 species